rnacentral:rRNA from 1 species
AGUGAACGCUGGCGGUAGGCCUAACACAUGCAAGUCGAACGGCAGCACAGUAAGAGCUUGCUCUUACGGGUGGCGAGUGGCGGACGGGUGAGGAAUACAUCGGAAUCUACUUUUUCGUGGGGGAUAACGUAGGGAAACUUACGCUAAUACCGCAUACGACCUACGGUUGAAAGCAGGGGAUCUUCGCACCUUGCGCGAUUGAAUGAGCCGAUGUCGGAUUAGCUAGUUGGCGGGGUAAAGGCCCACCAAGGCGACGAUCCGUAGCUGGUCUGAGAGGAUGAUCAGCCACACUGGAACUGAGACACGGUCCAGACUCCUACGGGAGGCAGCAGUGGGGAAUAUUGGACAAUGGGCGCAAGCCUGAUCCAGCCAUACCGCGUGGGUGAAGAAGGCCUUCGGGUUGUAAAGCCCUUUUGUUGGGAAAGAAAAGCAGCAGGUUAAUACCCCGCUGUUCUGACGGUACCCAAAGAAUAAGCACCGGCUAACUUCGUG